UGGAAAGCAAGGCUCUUGACUCUCGAUACAUGGUUUCCACUGUGUGCGCAGCUACCACUGCUGGGACAGAAUGCCUUCACUUCCCUCCAAGUAGGGCUACUCUGUGCUGAGUGGCCUCCUACUAGGACUUGUGGUCUGUGGUGAGGCCCAGGAGUUUGUGCUGUAACAAAUGCCCAGGUGGUUCCCAUGUAGGUGCUUGCUGGACCAAACCUAGAGAAAUAUUGACUUGUUCCGAGCCUUAGAACGUCUUCAUCUAUAAACACAGAUCACCUACGGGAACCAACUCCACCAGACCAGGAGCAGGGGUGAUGUCCUGCCCUGGGCAGCCUUGGCCAUCUGUCAGCACAAGUGUGUCCACAGCAGGAGGAACGGUACACCAAGAAGAUGCAUGGCUGCUGUCCAAGGACAACAGGCAUCUUCCAACCAGGCCACUUGGUCAAUCUGCUAAUCCCACAGUUCUCAGAGUUGGUCCCCCAAACAGGAACAUCAGCAUCAACCGAGUCCUUACUACAAAUGCAACUCCUCGGGUCCCCCCAAGUAUGUUCUGAGCCAAAAUGUCUGGGGAAGGGCUCAGCAAUCCGUGUUUUACCGAGUCCUCUAGUUGGUUCUGAUGCGUGCUCAAGUCUGAGAACCCCCUGCCAACACCACACGCCAGUGGAGACCAUUUGAGACAAUUCCCUUUUGAUUCUUUCUGCUCAGCUUGCAUUUUGAUGUACAGGCCACAGGUUUUAUGUCUCCCCGCACUUCCUUGCUCGGUCUGGAGUCUCAUUUGCUCGUUUUCGUUCACGGAGGGGCCACUUCCCUGCAUCCCUUCUGCUUGGCCCAUGUGAUUGGACACUGACCUUAAGUAUCUUCUUGGAUCCAGAAACUCGCCUUUGUCCUUCAGCUGACACAUUAGUAGGAUGUCAAGUGAAUUCUUCAUUUCUGUGCACACACUUGUCAUUAGUUCAUUUGCUGGUGGCCCUGCUGAUUCACACUAUUAUUACUCACUGCUCCUGUCAUUUUGAACUUUAACAGAGAGGUACAAACAAGCAGGGAACUUCCACAUAAGUGUCUAUGAAACAAUGAACAGAAAAAUUCCAAUAAGGUCGUGAGUAUGAAAAUGUAAGCCUUGUCUUCUCCUGGCACAGGGUAUUUUGCUACGGGUGCAGGAAAUAAUGGGUGAAUAAAGAGUUUCUGAAAAAUGGGGCAAAGUCAAGUAGCACUCAACCUUGAAGUUAGCUUUUUCCUGCCACAAACCAAGGAUAUUUAUAAGACCUCUCCUACCACAUAAGUGCAAAGAAGAAGGCUUCGGUUUUUUUCCUCAGCAGACAUUUGAUAGAGAACAGCCACUAUGGAAGAGAAUUACAUUCCCCACUGGUCGUGCAUUGCUCAAAUAUACCAGGACGUCCCUUACUUUACUUUAUUUGGGGUUCUGAAUAAAUAGACAUCGAGGACCAAAAUAAAACCGCAUUCAAGGCCAGAAAUAGAAUGAGUCCUGUAUGAAAGAGGGCAGCGAGAAGGGGAUGCUUGGGUCACCUGCCACAGAGCAGGGCCUGUCGCUGUUUGAACGUGUUGCCACCUGUGAAAUCCCUGCUCUGGACAUCUGUGGUGUUAAAUCUCUUCUUCCCAACUUCUCAUCAGGCUUCUGCCCUUCCUCCCCUUCGCCGGGUAAGUCCUGCCCUAUUAGCACAUAAUCCACAGGCCAUAGUAUUUUGAACAGCUUGAUGCCAACUCUUGUGAGCUCAUGAGAAUUGCAGAAUCUAGUAUUAAUCCAGAUAAUUACAAUGAACCUCACAGGGACCAAACUGAGGCAACGGAGAGUAAUCCCCGCUUGCCUGAUGAGGCUUUUUUAAAGGGUGACCUUCGAAGGCUUGGUUUCCUGAGACAUUGCCAUCAUCAUAUGUAAUUUCCAGCAUUUCUGUGAGGUUUAAAUGAGAUAAUAAUUGAGACCUACCAUUGUGCCUGGUGUGGUACACACUUGAUAAAUGUUACAUGCCUUUCCUCCAAUCCUCAAGCAUCAAACUAUGAUAUGAAUAUUUCUUUGUCAAGCCAUUAAAUUAAUGGAAUCAUAGGACCUAUAGGGCAUUGAGGCCAGCUGGUCCUGCCAUGAAAAGGACCAUUAGGGAAUAUUUCUUUUGCAAAAUUGGCAUUGGCCUCUCCGUAAAGGCCAUAUUUUCCUUUCAACUGUUUUCAUCCCAGACUCUCAGUUCAACACACACAUCUAGAUGCCAAAGGCAAGAUUUCUAUUCUCUUUUUGCUUAUAACUUUGCUCAAAGCAAUCUAAAUAGUCGUGAGGGAGGAAACGGCAGAAGCCCAUUAUUUUAUUUCGGGUUCUGAACAAGUAGGCAUCGAUGUCUUAAGUAACUAAUGUAACUUGUGUUUAGGCAAAAUGGUGCUUAAAAAAGCUGUUGCAGUUGGGACGUCACCAUUCCUUUUGUUAAUCUGAUCACACAAGGAAUAGAAACAUAAUAAAGGAUCAGGAACGUGGUCUGC